GACGAACGCUGGCGGCGUGCUUAACACAUGCAAGUCGAGCGGUAAGGCCCUUUCGGGGGUACACGAGCGGCGAACGGGUGAGUAACACGUGGGUGACCUGCCCUCAGCUCUGGGAUAAGCCUGGGAAACUGGGUCUAAUACUGGAUAUGACUCCACGGUGCAUGUCGUGGGGUGGAAAGCCUUGUGCGGCUGAGGAUGGGCCCGCGGCCUAUCAGCUUGUUGGUGGGGGGAUGGCCUACCAAGGCGACGACGGGUAGCCGGCCUGAGAGGGCGACCGGCCACACUGGGACUGAGACACGGCCCAGACUCCUACGGGA
rnacentral:rRNA from 1 species